ensembl:snRNA U2 U2 spliceosomal RNA
UUCGAUUCUCGGCCUUUUGGCUAAGAUCAAGUGUAGUAUCUGUUAUUGGCUUGGGGGGCUGUCAUCCUAGCUAAGGGAUGUUGGACCGGAACCCCCC